GCAACAUUUGCAUUUGAAAACAAAUGCAAAAUUGCCAUCGUUUUUUGCCAUGGAAAAUGCAGAAUUCCAAAGCUUCCAACUUCUUCUAAAGGGAAGCAAGUGUUGUUGUCUCUAAGUUUCGAACAAUCUCCUCUUUCACAGAUAUUGUUUGGAGCUGUGUGAGGUGGAGAAGAUGGUCCCAUGGCGAAGGGUUCUUGGAAGCAAGAAGACAAUCCCUAGAGAGUCCUCGAAUUCUAAAGCGGCAUUGGUGGCAUAGAUGUUUACCAACAUAAUUUUGAUACAGGAACCAAUCCAAGGGGCCAAAAAUUCUAUCUUUGGCAUAGAUUUCCUUAUUUUUCUUUUUUUUUUCUUCCCCUCUGAUUCCAAUGUUAUGCUGUUUCAAUUGGUUUUAAUUAAGGUGGUGGUGUUGUCAUUGAGGUAUUGAGAAAUGAGAGCCAAUUGAAUUUGGUA